rnacentral:rRNA from 1 species
GACGAACGCUGGCGGCGUGCCUAAUACAUGCAAGUAGGACGCAGUUGCGAACGGGUGAGUAACGCGUAGGUAACUGACUAUUAGAGGGGGAUAACUAUUGGAAACGAUAGCUAAUACCGCAUACUAGUAGAUGGACCUGCGUUGUAUUGACUAGUAGGUAGGGUAAUGGCCUACCUAGGCAACGAUACAUAGCCGACCUUGGAGGGUGAUCGGCCACACUGGGACUGAGACACGGCCCAGACUCCUACGGGAGGCAGCAGUAGGGAAUCUUCGGCAAUGGGGGGAACCCUGACCGAGCAACGCCGCGUGAGUGAAGAAGGUUUUCGGAUCGUAAAGCUCUGUUGUUAAGGAAGCGGUACUUAACCAGAAAGGGACGGCUAACUACGUGCCAGCCGCCGCGGUAAUUC